GAUGAACGCUGGCGGCGUGCCUAAUACAUGCAAGUCGAACGAACGGACGAGAAGCUUGCUUCUCUGAUGUUAGCGGCGGACGGGUGAGUAACACGUGGAUAACCUACCUAUAAGACUGGUAUAACUUCGGGAAACCGUAGCUAAUACCGGAUAAUAUUUUGAACCGCAUGGUUCAAAAGUGAAAGACGGUCUUGCUGUCACUUAUAGAUGGAUCCGCGCUGCAUUAGCUAGUUGGUAGGGUAACGGCUUACCAAGGCAACGAUGCAUAGCCGACCUGAGAGGGUGAUCGCCCGCAUGGGAACUGGAACGCGGUCCAGACUCCUAAGGGAGGCGGCAGUCGGGAAUCUUACGCAAUAGGCGAAAGCCUGACGGAGCAAGGGCGCGUGAGUGAUGAAGGUCUUCGGAUCGUAAAAAUCUGUUAUGAGGGAAGAACAGAUGUGUAAGGAGCUGUACACAUCUUGACGGUACCUAGUCAGAAAGCCACGGCUAACUACGUG
rnacentral:rRNA from 1 species